GCCAGCAGUUAGCUCUCUGCAACUCUCACAUGGUCACCCACUGAAGCUAAGCAGGGCUGCGCCCGGUCAGUUCCUGGAUGGGAGACCACAUGGGAAUGCUAGGUUGCUGCUGAAA
rfam:Danio rerio chromosome 25 genomic contig CTG2377, GRCz11 reference primary assembly.